rnacentral:tRNA from 1 species
GAUCCAUCAUGUCCAAAUCUUAUCUCAUGUAGGCUCAAAUACUCUCUUAUCUCAACCGAUCUACAAACUUAGGCCCAUAGCGGGCUGCUGACAAGUUCAAAUUUUAGUAACACCAAAAUCCAGCCCAUGUAGGCCCAGAUCUAUCAAGCAAAGGUAAAAGAGCAAAAGAAUUGCGGUGAGCGUGGAUCGAACACGCGACCUUCAGAUCUUCAGUCUGACGCUCUCCCAACUGAGCUAUCCCCGCUCGAUGUUUGGUUUUCUUCCUCAAUCAAUCAAGAUUUUGAGUUUUACAAUUUUUUUUUUUUUGGUCUUUUCAUCAGCGACAAUCCAUGCCCUUGACAC